GGAUUGUGGCUCAGAGGUAGAGUGCUCAUCUAGCACACGUGAGGCCCUGGGUUCGAUCCUUAGCACCA
rnacentral:tRNA from 1 species